rnacentral:rRNA from 1 species
UGGCGAACGGGUGAGUAACACGUGGGUGAUCUGCCCUGCACUUUGGGAUAAGCCUGGGAAACUGGGUCUAAUACCGAAUAUGACCAUGCACUUCCUGGUGUGUGGUGGAAAGCUUUUGCGGUGUGGGAUGGGCCCGCGGCCUAUCAGCUUGUUGGUGGGGUAAUGGCCUACCAAGGCGACGACGGGUAGCCGGCCUGAGAGGGUGACCGGCCACACUGGGACUGAGAUACGGCCCAGACUCCUACGGGAGGCAGCAGUGGGGAAUAUUGCACAAUGGGCGCAAGCCUGAUGCAGCGACGCCGCGUGAGGGAUGACGGCCUUCGGGUUGUAAACCUCUUUCAGCACAGACGAAGCGCAAGUGACGGUAUGUGCAGAAGAAGGACCGGCCAACUACGUGCCAGCAGCCGCGGUAAU